rnacentral:tRNA from 1 species
UUCUUGGUAGCUUAAUGGUAGAGCAAAUGGCUGUUAACCAUUUUACUACAGGUUCAAGUCCUGUCCAAGGAG